AUUGAACGCUGGCGGCAUGCCUUACACAUGCAAGUCGAACGGCAGCACAGGAGCAAUCCUGGUGGCGAGUGGCGAACGGGUGAGUAAUGUAUCGGAACGUGCCCAGUCGUGGGGGAUAACGUAGCGAAAGCUACGCUAAUACCGCAUACGAUCUAUGGAUGAAAGCGGGGGACCGUAAGGCCUCGCGCGAUUGGAGCGGCCGAUAGCAGAUUAGGUAGUUGGUGGGGUAAAGGCCUACCAAGCCGACGAUCUGUAGCUGGUCUGAGAGGACGACCAGCCACACUGGGACUGAGACACGGCCCAGACUCCUACGGGAGGCAGCAGUGGGGAAUUUUGGACAAUGGGCGCAAGCCUGAUCCAGCAAUGCCGCGUGCAGGAUGAAGGCCUUCGGGUUGUAAACUGCUUUUGUACGGAGCGAAAAGGCUCUCUCUAAUACAGGGGGCUCAUGACGGUACCGUAAGAAUAAGCACCGGCUAACUACGUGCCAGCCGCCGCAGUAA
rnacentral:rRNA from 1 species